CCUACGGGAGGCAGCAGUGAGGAAUAUUGGUCAAUGGCCGUAAGGCUGAACCAGCCAAGUCGCGUGAAGGAAGAAGGAUCUAUGGUUUGUAAACUUCUUUUAUAGGGGAAUAAAGGUAUCCACGUGUGGAUCUUUGCAUGUACCCUAUGAAUAAGCAUCGGCUAACUCCGUGCCAGCAGCCGCGGUAAUACGGAGGAUGCGAGCGUUAUCCGGAUUUAUUGGGUUUAAAGGGUGCGUAGGUUGUUUUUUAAGUCAGUGGUGAAAGUUUGUGGCUCAACCAUAAAAUUGCCGUUGAAACUGGAAGACUUGAGUGUGUUUGAGGUAGGCGGAAUGCGUGGUGUAGCGGUGAAAUGCAUAGAUAUCACGCAGAACUCCGAUUGCGAAGGCAGCUUACUAAGCCAUAACUGACACUGAAGCACGAAAGCGUGGGGAUCAAACAGGAUUAGAUACCCCAGUAGUC
rnacentral:rRNA from 1 species